GGAAGCUGUAGCUCAAGUGGUAGUGUGCAUGCUUUGCAUGCAAAAGGUCCCAGGUUUGAUCCCUGGUAUCUCCA